UCUCUUACUCAGGUCUGAAGCAAUACUGUAGAUACUGCCAGAUUUCCAGUAUUGCUUCAGGCCUGAGGAAGAGAG